rnacentral:tRNA from 1 species
GCAGGGUUGGCUCAGUGGCAGAGCAUGUGUUUAGCAUGCACAAUAUCCUGGGUUCAAUUCCCAGUGCCUCUG